GGAUUGUAGCUCAGUGGUAGAGUGCUUGCCUAGCACAUGUGAGGCACUGGGUUCUAUCCUCAGCACCA
rnacentral:tRNA from 1 species